CAGCCGCCGCGGUAAUACGAAGGGGGCUAGCGUUGUUCGGAUUAACUGGGCGUAAAGGGCGCGUAGGCGGGUUUUUAAGUCAGAGGUGAAAUCCCCGGGCUCAACCUGGGAAUGGCAAUGGAUACUGGCAAGCUAGAGUGUGUCAGAGGAUGGUGGAAUUCCCGGUGUAGCGGUGAAAUGCGUAGAGAUCGGGAGGAACAUCAGUGGCGAAGGCGGCCAUCUGGGACAACACUGACGCUGAGGCACGAAAGCGUGGGGAGCAAACAGGAUUAGAUACCCGCGUAGUCCCUGUCUCUUAUAC
rnacentral:rRNA from 1 species